CGCGAGGGACGGCCUUCGUGCAACCAGUACUACAGCGGGACGGCCCGC
rnacentral:ncRNA from 1 species